ACGAAAGUGUUGCAUUUUAUGUGCAUCAAGAGCAUCAGAAAAGAAAUAUGCAUUAAAGAAGCAUUGAUUUGGAUAAGGAGGCUUAGGCUAAAUCAAUAAACUCUUGACUGACAUUGAGCACUAACUGGAAAACAACAUCAAGCCCUUUGCUCUUUUACCCAGAAGACAUGUCAUUUCUCAAGCAACAGGUGAUUGGCUACAAAAGAGCGAGUGAAGGGAGUGGGUGGGAAAAUUCACUGGAAUUGGAUAAUAAGAUCUAUUAAUUAACUCCGCUUGGGAAUUGUUCCUCAGCCAGACAUCAUCAAUUAAUUACAUUAGCUCAGUCACCACAAAGUCUUAUUGCUGACGAUAUAAGCUGAGGGAUCAAUUCAUCUGCAAGUCAAUACAAAUAACACAUAAUCUUCACCAAUAUCUGUAUAAGAAUGAAAUGUCUUUUACAAUAAGACAUUCAUAAUAAUAUUAACAGUCCAGAAAGUUAAAGUCAUCGGUGGCACGUGCACAGACCUUACCCAAUACGGUAACCUUGAUUUGUGAAGAGCAUUUUUCAAAUUAUUCUCCUCGAAAAAGAGUAUUCCGUUUUUUUAGUCAAAAACUUAUACAGUAUGUAUUUCUCACAAACUCAGAAACCCUCAGCCACACCUCACUACAUCCUCUCUAUUUGUCUGGGAAUGAUUGAGGCAUGGCUGAUUUUUGGCAAAGAUUUGAGAAAGGAAGAUAAGUGUGUUAAAACAAUUCACUCUCAAUAAAGUUCUCCUAAAGGAGAUAAUUAGAUCUAAGCUAUUAUUCUUGCCAAAGACUGUUCUUUUGCCAGAAGUCUCAAGGUAAGGGAAUUAGCACAACUACACUGAAAUGGCCUUAUAUGUUUUAAAUCUGCACAGUUUUCAUUCUUGUUGUCUUUUGAUAGGACAUAUUUGGCAGCACGCAAAUCAAAAAGUACAAAGGAAAAAAGGGCUUCAUUCCAGGACAAACCCCAUUCUUAAUUAAUAUAUAAUAGUUUGUUUUGAUGCAGGAAAAAUAUUGUUAAAACAGCAUCAAUUAACUUAAUAUUUAACUGAAAAUAUUUUAGAGUGAUAUUUGACAUUACGUUUCUAGGUGUUGCUGUAGUAAGUUGUUGGGGGAAUUUUUAAUCUCACAUUAUAACUAAUGGGUCUUAUGUUUUUCUAUUUUAUAUUAUCUGUUCACCUCCUAUAUGUAAUAAUGGAGGAAUGUCUUAUGGUUUAGCUAUCCGUGAAGGAAGUAAUUUGUCUUUUCUUUAGCGGAGUGAGGCAUCAGAGAACCGGCCGGGUCAGAGGUCAUCUUAGACUGGGGAGGAUAGAGGGGGUUAGCAGUAAAUCUAACCCAGCUAAUGAGUCCAAUGGCUUGUGGAAUUUUACAGAGAAGUCUGGGCCUGAAGUAAAUAACCUUGAGAGAGAUAUAAGAAUGAACUCCGGCCUGUGUUCUGCACGUCAUUUCACUUCACAGUAAUCUGUGUUGGUGACUGAGCCUUAUUGUUCUUGCAAGAAUAAUAAACCUCUUUUCCUUUUAUUAA